GGAGCCGAGUGACAGGCAUUGCUGCCUAGAUGUCUCUCUCUCUCUCUCCUAUGGGCACUGCGUCUGCCUACAUUAACCAUAAUCCUCUUCUGCUUACGUCACUUAUCCGGAUGUGAUGGUAACCCUGUUGUAUUCAUCUGUUUAACCUCUUCCUGUCCCAGCUCCCGCCCUUAGCCUAUAAAAGGAGUUCUGAACUUGUUGAUCUGCAGGCCGGAUCAAGUGGCGCUCAGCGUGGGAGCCCCUGGCACGGAGAAGUUAACGAGGGAGCCGUUCGAGAGACAGCCGGCUUAAACCGAAA